UACGGAGGGCGCGAGCGUUAAUCGGAAUUACUGGGCGUAAAGCGCGCGUAGGCUGUUGUGUAGGUUGGGGGUGAAAUCCCACGGCUCAACCGUGGAACAGCCCUUGAUACUGCGCGACUUGAAUCCGGGAGAGGGUGGCGGAAUUCCAGGUGUAGGAGUGAAAUCCGUAGAUAUCUGGAGGAACAUCAGUGGCGAAGGCGGCCACCUGGACCGGUAUUGACGCUGAGGCGCGAAAGCGUGGGGAGCAAACAGG
rnacentral:rRNA from 1 species